rnacentral:misc_RNA from 1 species
GAUGAAGAACGGAGCGAAAUGCGAUAAGUAAUGUGAAUUGCAGAAUUCAGUGAAUCAUCGAAUCUUUGAACGCACAUUGCGCCCGCCAGUAUUCUGGCGGGCAUGCCUGUCCGAGCGUCAUUUCAACCAUCAAGCCCCGGGCUUGUGUUGGGGACCUGCGUCCGACGCAGGCCCUGAAAACCAGUGGCGGGCUCGCUGUCCACACCGAGCGUAGUAACUAACCUCGCUAUGGAGUGGCGCGGGCGCCUGCCGUAAAACCCCCAAUUUCACAAGGUUGACCUCGGAUCAGGUAGGAAUACCCGCUGAACUUAAGCAUAUCAAUAAGCGGAGGA